rnacentral:rRNA from 1 species
CCUACGGGAGGCAGCAGUGAGGAAUAUUGGUCAAUGGAGGCAACUCUGAACCAGCCAUGCCGCGUGCAGGAUGACUGCCCUAUGGGUUGUAAACUGCUUUUGUCAGGGAAUAAACCUUUCCACGUGUGGGAAGCUGAAUGUACCUGAAGAAUAAGGAUCGGCUAACUCCGUGCCAGCAGCCGCGGUA